rnacentral:rRNA from 1 species
GAUGAACGCUGGCGGCGUGCCUAAUACAUGCAAGUAGAACGCUGAAGGAGGAGCUUGCUCUUCUGGAUGAGUUGCGAACGGGUGAGUAACGCGUAGGUAACCUGCCUGGUAGCGGGGGAUAACUAUUGGAAACGAUAGCUAAUACCGCAUAACAACAGUUAUUGCAUGAUAACUGUUUAAAAGGGGCAACUGCUCCACUACCAGAUGGACCUGCGUUGUAUUAGCUAGUUGUUGAGGUAACGGCUCACCAAGGCGACGAUACAUAGCCGACCUGAGAGGGUGAGCGGCCACACUGGGAUGGGGACACGGCCCAGAAUCCUACGGGAGGCAGCAGUAGGGAAUCUUCGGCAAUGGACGGAAGUCUGACCGAGCAACGCCGCGUGAGUGAAGAAGGUUUUCGGAUCGUAAAGCUCUGUUGUAAGAGAAGAACGAGUGUGAGAGUGGAAAGUUCACACUGUGACGGUAUCUUACCAGAAAGGGACGGCUAACUACGUG